rnacentral:lncRNA from 1 species
CUCCUCAAACAGGAAGUGGCAAUGCCCGAGUUACUAGUUUGUGGACAACGGAUUUUAUUAAACACUACUGGGGUUUAUACGGGUACUGAAAAACUGUGACUCUGUAGUACCCGACCAUCUGUUCCGCUGGACAGCGGCUGGUGGAGUCAGCAGCCGCCUCAGACACCUCUCCCGACUGCGGUCGUUCACUGUCUGUGGCGUAAACCCUGAGAUCAUCACCCUCCCUACUCCCAGGCCUUCCCCGUUUCAUUAUUUCUAUCAAAGGGAGUUGGGGCUGGGCCUGUGGGUGCACAGCACCUUGGACCUUCGGCUUCAUGGUGUCUUCCUUAUCUUCUCAGAACUUGGGCCCAGGUCACUUAGCCCGAUCUUUCUCUGAACUUUAGACUUGCAUAUGGAAUAUAUAUUUAACAUCCACUUCGUUGUCCAAAGCAACCUUCCAGGCCUCUCCCCCACUGAACAAGGAAAGAAGUUUAUCCUUCCGCACCCGCCCCUUCAGCAGAGGACACCUGAGGCCCUCUUUGUCCUGGCUUCCUUACUCGUCGCAGCAAAACCUCGGCUGUGCAGCCCUCACCCAAGCCCAGGCACCUGCAGCCCCCACUGCCUGUUGCGGUGGAACCUGGAGGUCUCCUGCCCUCGCGGCCCCAGUCCUCUGCACAGUCAGCGAUCCGUUGGAAACCCAGUCUAGGCUGGCCUUGAAUUGAAGCAAUCUUCCUGCCUCAGCUUGCAAAGCGCUGGGAUUACAGCUAUGUGUCAUCAUGCCUGGCGGCAGUCUUUGCAUUCUUGAUAAAAGAAUUCAGUGAAGAUACAGACAAGUGUUGUGAAAGAAAGGCAGAA